GUAACAGAUGGCCCCUGCUUUCCAGGGCGUGGAGGACAGCACUUGGGGAGUGGGCCUCACUCCAAGGUGCCCGGGAAGAGAGCUGUUACCAACAGAAGUGUGGAUGCCUGUCACUUAAGUGUUUCACUGCACGGGUCUGCGGGAAUCAUUCAGUAAGAUUCUAGAAGCAUUCAUGGGACAUCUAUUCAUGCCAGGCCCGGGCAUGGGCACUGCAGAGCCCACAACAAGUGGACAAAGCACAGCUAGUCUCUGCUGCAAGGGCACACCUGGCAAAAUCAGGUCCCCACAAAGCCAGGACAAAAACCAUGGGAACCCUG
rnacentral:lncRNA from 1 species